GUGGCGGGUAGCUUAACAGCAAAGCGCAAUUAUUGCGAUUGAGGGUUAUCGCUUGUUAACGAAAUCCCCCUUAAUCGCCGAGAUGCGGGUGCAACUCCCGCUCCGCUACACCA
rnacentral:tRNA from 1 species